rnacentral:rRNA from 1 species
GAAUUUUGCGCAAUGGGGGCAACCCUGACGCAGCGACGCCGCGUGAGCGAUGAAGGCCUUCGGGUCGUAAAGCUCUGUCGAGUGGGACGAAACGCAGGAGUGAUAAUACCAUUCUUGCUUGACGGUACCACUGGAGGAAGCCCCGGCCAACUCCGUCCCAGCCGCCGCGGUAAUACGGAGGGGGCGAGCGUUAUUCGGAAUUAUUGGGCGUAAAGGGCGUGUAGGCGGCUUCGUGUGUCUUCUGUGAAAGCCCUCGGCUCAACUGAGGAAUUGCAGGGGAAACUGCGGAGCUCGAGUCCGGGAGAGGAGAGUGGAAUUCCCAGUGUAGCGGUGAAAUGCGUAGAUAUUGGGAGGAACACCUGUGGCGAAGGCGGCUCUCUGGACUGGUACUGACGCUGAGACGCGAAAGCUAGGGGAGCAAACGGG